rnacentral:rRNA from 1 species
UGGUAGUGUAUUGGACAACCAUGGCUUUAACGGGUAACGGAGGAUUAGGGUUCGAUUCCGGAGAGGGAGCCUGAGAAACGGCUACCACAUUUAAGGAAGGCAGCAGGCGCGUAAAUUACCCAAUCCUGACUCAGGGAGGUAGUGACAAGAAAUAACGGACCGAGGCUAAUGCUUGGGAUUGCAAUGAGUAGAAUUUAAACCCCUUUACGAGGAUCAAUUGGAGGGCAAGUCUGGUGCCAGCAGCCGCGGUAAUUCCAGCUCCAAUAGCGUAUAUUAAAGUUGUUGCAGUUAAAAAGCUCGUAGUUGGAUUUCUGGGAGGGCGCCAAUGUCCGCUCGUUCGCGUGUGCAGCGGCGCCCUUCCAUCCUUCUGUUAACGUUUCUUGGUAUUCAUUUACUGGUUUCGGGCUCGGAUAUUUACCUUGAGAAAAUUAGAGUGUUCCAGGCAGGCUUGCGCCGGAAUACAUUAGCAUGGAAUGAUAGAAUAGGACUUUAAUCUCCUUUGUUGGUUUGAGGGAUUGAAGUAAUGAUUAAUAGGGAUAGUUGGGGGCAUUAGUAUUUAAUUGUCAGAGGUGAAAUUCUCGGAUUUGUUAAAGACUAACUUAUGCGAAAGCAUUUGCCAAGGAUGUUUUCAUUAAUCAAGAACGAAAGUUAGGGGAUCAAAGACAAUCAGA